rnacentral:lncRNA from 1 species
CCCUCUCCUCCUCCUCCUUCGCCCGUCCCUCCCUCUCCUCCUCCUCCCUCUCCGGCCCCUCCCUCGCCUCCUCCCCCCUCCCCCAAGCCCCCGUCGCCUGCCCCGCCCUCCCCUCCUCCUCCCUCUCCUAAGCCUCCCUCGCCGCCUCCCCCCUCGCCUCCUCCCACUUGCGAUUUCUGCGUUGACUACUUCCUUUUCCCCGGCCUUACCCGGCCCGAGCUGCCCUGGUUCGACUACUAUUGUGACGAGGCUGUCUUCAACCUGUUGGAGAUUUACCAGCCCUUCAAGGAU